rnacentral:miRNA from 1 species
AAAUAGAAUAUUUUAAAGGUAUAGCCGCGCGGCUAUACUGUAUAAAUAUAAUAUUUUAAACGUAUAGCCGCGCGGCUAUACUCGAUAAAUAUAAAGAAAC